CCUACGGGUGGCAGCAGUGAGGAAUAUUGGUCAAUGGACGAGAGUCUGAACCAGCCAAGUAGCGUGAAGGAUGACUGCCCUAUGGGUUGUAAACUUCUUUUAUAAAGGAAUAAAACGAGGCACGUGUGCCUUUUUGCAUGUACUUUAUGAAUAAGGAUCGGCUAACUCCGUGCCAGCAGCCGCGGUAAUACGGAGGAUCCGAGCGUUAUCCGGAUUUAUUGGGUUUAAAGGGAGCGUAGAUGGGUUGUUAAGUCAGCUGUGAAAGGUUGCGGCUCAACCGUAAAAUUGCAAUUGAUACUGGCAGUCUUGAGUACAGUUGAGGUAAGCGGAAUUCGUGGUGUAGCGGUGAAAUGCUUAGAUAGCACGAAGAACCCCGAUUGCGAAGGCAGCUUACUAAACUGUGACUGACAUUGAUGCUCGAAAGUGUGGGUAUCAAACAGGAUUAGAUACCCUAGUAGUC
rnacentral:rRNA from 1 species